rnacentral:rRNA from 1 species
GACGGGGCCCGGCCACAAGCGGAGGAGCAUGUGGUUUAAUUCGAUGAUACGCGAGGAACCUUACCUGGGCUCGAACGUAAGAUGACUGUAGGUGAAAGCUUACAUCUCUUCGGAGCAUUUUACGAGGUGCUGCAUGGUUGUCGUCAGCUCGUGCCGUGAGGUGUCGGGUUAAGUCCCAUAACGAGCGCAACCCCUACCUUUAGUUGCCAUCAGGUAAUGCUGGGGACUCUAAAGGAACUGCCUACGCAAGUAGUGAGGAAGGCGGGGAUGACGUCAAAUCAGCACGGCCCUUACGUCCAGGGCUACACACGUGCUACAAUGGCCGAUACAGAGGGCAGCUACCUGGUGACAGGAUGCAAAUCUCCAAAGUCGGUCUCAGUUCGGAUCGGAGUCUGCAACCCGACUCCGUGAAGUUGGAUUCGCUAGUAAUCGCGCAUCAGCCAUGGCGCGGUGAAUACGUUCCCGGGCCUU